UAAGCAUAUCAAUAAGCGGAGGAAAAGAAACCAACAGGGAUUGCCCUAGUAACGGCGAGUGAAGCGGCAACAGCUCAAAUUUGAAAUCUGGCCCUAGCGGUCCGAGUUGUAAUUUGUAGAGGAUGCUUUUGGUGAGGUGCCUUCCGAGUUCCCUGGAACGGGACGCCGGAGAGGGUGAGAGCCCCGUACGGUUGGACGCCAAACCUCUGUAUAGCUCCUUCGACGAGUCGAGUAGUUUGGGAAUGCUGCUCUAAAUGGGAGGUAAAUUUCUUCUAAAGCUAAAUACCGGCCAGAGACCGAUAGCGCACAAGUAGAGUGAUCGAAAGAUGAAAAGCACUUUGAAAAGAGGGUUAAAUAGCACGUGAAAUUGUUGAAAGGGAAGCGUUUGCGACCAGACCUUUUCCAGGCGGAUCAUCCGGCGUUCUCGCCGGUGCACUCCGCCUGGUUGAGGCCAGCAUCGGUUUCCUUAGGGGGAUAAAGGCCUGGGGAACGUAGCUCCUUCGGGAGUGUUAUAGCCCCUGGCGCAAUACCCCUCGGGGGACCGAGGACCGCGCUUCGGCAAGGAUGCUGGCGUAAUGGUCGUCAACGACCCGUCUUGAAACACGGACCAAGGAGUCGAACAUUUGUGCGAGUGUUUGGGUGUCAAACCCUCACGCGUAAUGAAAGUGAACGGAGGUGAGAGCCCUUACGGGUGCAUCAUCGACCGAUCCUGAUGUCUUCGGAUGGAUUUGAGUAAGAGCAUAACUGUUCGGACCCGAAAGAUGGUGAACUAUGCGUGGAUAGGGUGAAGCCAGAGGAAACUCUGGUGGAGGCUCGCAGCGGUUCUGACGUGCAAAUCGAUCGUCAAAUCUGCGCAUGGGGGCGAAAGACUUAUCC
rnacentral:rRNA from 1 species